GAUGAACGCUGGCGGCGUGCCUAAUACGUGCAAGUCGAGCGAAUGGAUUAAGAGCUUGCUCUUAUGAAGUUAGCGGCGGACGGGUGAGUAACACGUGGGUAACCUGCCCAUAAGACUGGGAUAACUCCGGGAAACCGGGGCUAAUACCGGAUAAUAUUUUGAACUGAAUGGUUCAAAAUUGAAAGGCGGCUUCGGCUGCCACUUAUGGAUGGACCCGCGUCGCAUUAGCUAGUUGGUGAGGUAACGGCUCACCAAGGCAACGAUGCGUAGCCGACCUGGGAGGGUGAUCGGCCACACUGGGACUGAGGCACGGCCCAGACUCCUACGGGAGGCAGCAGUAGGGAAUCUUCCGCAAUGGACGAAAGUCUGACGGAGCAACGCGGCGUGAGUGAUGAAGGCUUUCGGGUCGUAAAACUCUGUUGUUAGGGAAGAGCAAGUGCUAGUUGAAUAAGCUGGCACCUUGACGGUACCUAACCAGAAAGCCACGGCUAACUACGUGCCAGCAGCCGCCGUAA
rnacentral:rRNA from 1 species